rnacentral:rRNA from 1 species
GGACCCACCUGAUUUCCAUGCCGAACUCAGAAGUGAAAC